rnacentral:lncRNA from 1 species
CCUAAGAACCUAUGACAUAAAAGUAGAAGUCAUAAACGCUUGUGACAUCCGAAACCAAUGUCAUAAUAUUAUGACAUGAACACUUAAACGUCACAAGUUGUUAUUAAAGACGCGCAUCUUUUGACAUUUCAGUUUUCGUCAACUUUGUGUCAUAAAUGGUGAUCUGUGACUUAUUUCGCAUGAAUUAUGACAUAUAUCAAAUGUCAAAAGAGGACAUAUUUCUUGUAGUGA